CAGCAGCCGCGGGAAAACGUAGGGUGCGAGCGUUAAUCGGAAUUACUGGGCGUAAAGCGUGCGCAGGCGGUUCGUUAAGACAGAUGUGAAAUCCCCGGGCUUAACCUGGGAACUGCAUUUGUGACUGGCGGGCUAGAGUAUGGCAGAGGGGGGUAGAAUUCCACGUGUAGCAGUGAAAUGCGUAGAGAUGUGGAGGAAUACCGAUGGCGAAGGCAGCCCCCUGGGCCAAUACUGACGCUCAUGCACGAAAGCGUGGGGAGCAAACAGGAUUAGAUACCCGCGUAGUCCCUGUCUCUUAUAC
rnacentral:rRNA from 1 species